AUUGAACGCUGGCGGCAUGCCUUACACAUGCAAGUCGAACGGCAGCGGACCUUCGGGUGCCGGCGAGUGGCGAACGGGUGAGUAAUAUAUCGGAACGCACCUUUCAGUGGGGGAUAACGUAGCGAAAGUUACGCUAAUACCGCAUAUUCUGUGAGCAGGAAAGCAGGGGAUCGCAAGACCUUGCGCUGAUUGAGCGGCCGAUAUCAGAUUAGCUAGUUGGUGAGGUAAAGGCUCACCAAGGCGACGAUCUGUAGCGGGUCUGAGAGGAUGAUCCGCCACACUGGAACUGAGACACGGUCCAGACUCCUACGGGAGGCAGCAGUGGGGAAUUUUGGACAAUGGGCGCAAGCCUGAUCCAGCCAUGCCGCGUGAGUGAAGAAGGCCUUCGGGUUG
rnacentral:rRNA from 1 species